rnacentral:rRNA from 1 species
CUACCCUUGACAUGUACGGAAGCCACGAGAGAUCGAGGUGUGCUCGAAAGAGAACCGUAACACAGGUGCUGCAUGGCUGUCGUCAGCUCGUGUCGUGAGAUGUUGGGUUAAGUCCCGCAACGAGCGCAACCCUUGUCAUUAGUUGCUACGAAAGAGCACUCUAAUGAGACUGCCGGUGACAAACCGGAGGAAGGUGGGGAUGACGUCAAGUCCUCAUGGCCCUUAUGGGUAGGGCUUCACACGUCAUACAAUGGUACAUACAGAGGGCCGCCAACCCGCGAGGGGGAGCUAAUCCCAGAAAGUGUAUCGUAGUCCGGAUUGUAGUCUGCAACUCGACUACAUGAAGUUGGAAUCGCUAGUAAUCGCGGAUCAGCAUGUCGCGGUGAAUACGUUCCC